UGAUCCACACCAACUGGUUACACCAGGAAACCCCUGUUUCCUGUUCUGAGGCAGCAGCAGCACAUACCCAGUAAUUCUUCCCUAGCCCUGGCAGGCUCACCUCACAGAGCAGGACUCUGAAGUUGAAGAACAAGAUAUUUUCCUUCUAGUGGAAGACCUCAAACAUGUUGCUUUCCAGCCUUCUGAAGAUGGUCAUGGCUUCAAUGUGGCUAGGAUCCAGCAUUUGCCAGAAGGUAACUCAAUCCCAACCAGCAAUGUCAGUGCAGGAGAUGGAGGCUGUGACCCUGAACUGCACCUAUGACACCAGUUCUGGCACUUACAGUCUAUUCUGGUACAAGCAGCCCAGCAGCGGGGCAAUGAUUUUCCUUAUUCGUCAGGACUCUUACCAGCAAAAUGCCACAGAAGGUCGCUAUUCAUUGAAUUUCCAGAAGGCAAAAAAAUCCAUCAACCUUGUCAUCUCAGCUGCACAGCUGGAGGACUCUGCAGUGUAUUUCUGUGCACUGAUUGAGCCCACAGUGAGAGAUGUGUUGGAGGGAGGAGUGCAGAAACCCCAGGGCUCUGCUUGA